rnacentral:rRNA from 1 species
UCUCUUUGUCACGGCUCAGAGCCGAGAUGUCCUGCGUGGGAUUCUUCCUGAUGUCGAUGGUAUUCUAUUUAUCAAUCGGCCACAGACCAUUAAAGAGACAUUUAAAUAUUGUCGUAUGCCCCAUUUCAGAACACUCCGUUUCCACAUUAUCAAUUACAAAAUUCGCAGUAGCUUUAUCUAUUUGAAUAUACCCUUGAGAUGAAAAAAACUCUUCCAAUUCUGCUAUCCGUUCUUGUUCUUCACAACCAUGUAAUUCGUCAAAAGAAAAAAUAGCUUUUUCAUUCUUUUUUUCUGUUUUAUUUAUGGUAAAAAAAUAAUAUUUUCCAAUGAUACUAAUGUAUAGGAACAAAUCUCGUCUUUCUCCAUUUAAUCUUUCUAAAAGACGGAUAUCGUCAUCCAGUAUAUCUUGAUUUUUAUGCAACAAAAUAUGAUAUUCAAUAUCUGGAUACUCCUCCAUGUAUGUCCAGUUAAUAACAGCAUACUGUGAAAAAAUUUUUUUCAAGUUUUUUUCAAUAAAAGCUAAAUAAUCCGCAUUCUCGGCCAUUUGUUGUUGUUUUUCCUUUAAUUUCUUAUACUCAUCAGAGGAUUGGUAUAAUGGAUCAUUAAACGGAAUUCCUGUAGGAUAAUAUUGAUGAAUUAGACAAACUAAAUCAUCUAUAAUGUUAUUACUUCCUGUUGUCAUUUUUAUCGAACCUCUUAUCUUUUAGUAGCUUCUUUGCAGUUCUAGCGGAAGCAUCUCCUUUUUUUUGCUGCGGCUUCUAUUUCUCAUAAGGGCUUCCCUAGCCAUUGCCCAGGGAAUACCUGACGAAUAGAGCCUUUUUUCUCCCUUUUUAUAAUUUCUUCUGGUGUUAAAUUACCAUUAUUAGAGAAAAAUAUAUUCUCUCUAGGGCUAUUUGCGGUACCUUCUUGACUCCAUUGCUCCUUAAAGUCCAACAAAGGAUUUGUACGGGGCUUGUAUUUAAUAUCUAGGAUAUUGGGAGAGAGAUCAAAAGGG